UACGUAGGGAGCAAGCGUUGUCCGGAAUCAUUGGGCGUAAAGCGCGCGUAGGCGGCCCGAUAAGUCCGCUGUGAAAGUCAACGGCUCAACUGUUGGAUGCCGGUGGAUACUGUCGGGCUAGAGUACGGAAGAGGCAAGUGGAAUUCCUGGUGUAGCGGUGAAAUGCGCAGAUAUCAGGAGGAACACCGGUGGCGAAGGCGGGUCUCUGGGCCGAUACUGACGCUGAGGAGCGAAAGCGUGGGGAGCGAACAGG
rnacentral:rRNA from 1 species